UGCNACAAUGGCCGGUACAGAGAGCAGCCACUGGGUGACCAGGAGCGAAUCUAUAAAUCCGGUCACAGUUCGGAUCGGAGUCUNCAACUCGACUCCGUGAAGCUGGAAUCGCUAGUAAUCGGAUAUCANCCAUGAUCCGGUGAAUACGUUCCCGGGCCUUGUACACACCGCCCGUCAAGCCAUGGAAGCUGGGGGUGCCUGAAGUCGGUGACCGCAAGGAGCUGCCUAGGGUAAAACUGGUAACUAGGGCUAAGUCGUAACAAGUUACC
rnacentral:rRNA from 1 species